CAUGCUAUAACAUGGAUGAACGCUGAAGU
rnacentral:piRNA from 1 species